CAGAAAAAGGGGCUUCGCUUUCAGAAGCCAUGGCUAACAGUAACGCACCAGAAACAACAACAGUAGAGGAGUCUCGGUCGUUCUUCGGCCUCCCUUGGCCCGAUCUCAACGACGGCUUGUACUACAGCGAUGCCGUUUCUUCCUCCGAUUCUGAAUUGACACUUAUCGAAUUCUACUCUGGCAAGUAUAAGAAUUCAGCUCCAUUACAGGGUUGGUUGCAGCGAAUCCACAAUGGAC
rnacentral:misc_RNA from 1 species